CCUUAGCAGGUUUUCUACUUUGGCAGACUUUCUCCAGUGUAUUAGAUCUGUGCUGGGUCUUCCAUGGCAGGCAUUGAGAUUCUUUAUCUAUAAUAUUCAUCAAAGACAUGCAAGGAGGUCCUGCUUCCUACAAGUUACAUGGAGAAAGAAAGAAGGAAGGAGCAGAGGGGAGGAGUUUCAGAAUUAACAGAAGAAACAAAGAGCUGAGGAGAAAAACAAGAUCGUGAGGGGAGACAAGCACCUCUGAUGGGUAAUGUGCAUGAAACUGUAUGCCUUGGAAGAAACUCGAUUUGUCAGCAGGAUACAAAGGAGAGAUUCUCUCCUCGGAACACUCAGAGUAGGAGGUUCAUUGUUUUAUUGUUUUCUCUGUUACAUGAGUGGUCCCUGUAACUUGGCUAAAUGGAGGCAGCUCCACUUGAAGAUGCCACAAUUACAUCUUCAAUUCAGGUUGCUUCCUUAGCCCAGAAUUUGCUUCAAAGUCUAGGAUCCCAGGAUCUGCCUAUCUCCAUCUUCCUGAUCAGCACUGGGUUUGUAAGUACAAACAGAUUGAACUCAGGUCCUCAGGUUUAGAAAUCAAGAAUUCCACAGACUAGGCUAUCCUCACAGCCUCCAUCUUAUGGGCUUCAACUUAGAAUGGAACUGGAAAUAUCCAUUUGUUUAACCAACAGGCUAUCUCAUUACAUGAAUUGUUUGUUUAACUGUUGAAUGAAAAAUUUCAACAAAGUUUGAACCAUAAAUCCCAAGUAUCCCUAAUGAAAAACCUCAGCAAAUUUUAAAGUUUUCUCUAAUGCAAACAACUAAAAAACAGCUUCCUAACUCACUAUAGAUAAGAAGCUCAUUAAAAGUUACAGGUAGCAUUUUUAAUGGCACAGACUAUUUAUACCCUACAGUUUUAUGAAGUGUUUGGAAAAACGAGCUUGCAGUAGUUUCAUGACUCUAAGGAAUGCAAACUCUUUAAUACAUAGCUAAGAGGUUGAGAAGACAGGAUUGGAUCUGGGAAACACCUGGUUGCACUACCUGGCAUUACCAAGUAGGAAGAAAUGAAAAUCAAAUAACUUAUAAAAAAAAUCAACAAAAAAAAAUCUAUGGGGCUAAAUAUCACAGCUCCAUAAAGUGGGUACUGGAGGCAGAUCAUGCCUUAGCUCUGAAUUUCUCUAGUUUCAUUAUACACAUAUCUAACAUGCUGAGCAUAAGGUUCCUUUGCAGUAAAAUGGUGAUGUUCAUAAAUCCUAGGGGAGUUCUUGUGAUAGUCAAUAUGCUAAUGUAUGUAAACCUUUAACCCAUGGAAAUAAUAGCAUGUGAUGGCAUCAAUAAAUCUUACUAAGUGACUCUUUCCAGCA